AUUGAACGCUGGCGGCAUGCUUUACACAUGCAAGUCGAACGGCAGCGCGGGCUUCGGCCUGGCGGCGAGUGGCGAACGGGUGAGUAAUACAUCGGAACGUGCCCAGUAGUGGGGGAUAGCUCGGCGAAAGCCGGAUUAAUACCGCAUACGACCUGAGGUUGAAAGCGGGGGAUCUUCGGACCUCGCGCUAUUGGAGCGGCCGAUGGCAGAUUAGCUCGUUGGUGGGGUAAAGGCCUACCAAGGCGACGAUCUGUAGCUGGUCUGAGAGGACGACCAGCCACACUGGGACUGAGACACGGCCCAGACUCCUACGGGAGGCAGCAGUGGGGAAUUUUGGACAAUGGGCGAAAGCCUGAUCCAGCAAUGCCGCGUGUGUGAUGAAGGCCUUCGGGUUGUAAAGCACUUUUGGCGGGAACGAAAAGGACUGUGCCAAUACCACGGUUCGAUGGCGGUACCCGCAGAAUAAGCACCGGCUAACUACGUG
rnacentral:rRNA from 1 species